CUUGGUCAUUUAGAGGAAGUAAAAGUCGUAACAAGGUCUCCGUAGGUGAACCUGCGGAGGGAUCAUUACAAGUGACCCCGGUCUAACCACCGGGAUGUUCAUAACCCUUUGUUGUCCGACUCUGUUGCCUCCGGGGCGACCCUGCCUUCGGGCGGGGGCUCCGGGUGGACACUUCAAACUCUUGCGUAACUUUGCAGUCUGAGUAAACUUAAUUAAUAAAUUAAAACUUUUAACAACGGAUCUCUUGGUUCUGGCAUCGAUGAAGAACGCAGCGAAAUGCGAUAAGUAAUGUGGAUUGCAGAAUUCAGUGAAUCAUCGAAUCUUUGAACGCACAUUGCGCCCCCUGGUAUUCCGGGGGGCAUGCCUGUUCGAGCGUCAUUUCACCACUCAAGCCUCGCUUGGUAUUGGGCAACGCGGUCCGCCGCGUGCCUCAAAUCGACCGGCUGGGUCUUCUGUCCCCUAAGCGUUGUGGAAACUAUUCGCUAAAGGGUGUUCGGGAGGCUACGCCGUAAAACAACCCCAUUUCUAAGGUUGACCUCGGAUCAGGUAGGGAUACCCGCUGAACUUAAGCAUAUCAAUAAGCGGAGGAAAAGAAACCAACAGGGAUUGCCCCAGUAACGGCGA
rnacentral:rRNA from 1 species